rnacentral:rRNA from 1 species
CGCACAGCCGGGCGGGGGAAAUAUUUAUCGGGAAAGGAUGAGCCAGCGUUGGAUUAGCUAGUGGGUGGGGUAAAGACCUCCCAAGGGGCCGAUCCAUAGCUGGUGUGAGAGGAUGAUCACCCACAUUGGGAGUGAGACACGGCCCAAACUCCUACGGGAGGCAGCAGUGGGGAAUAUUGGACAAUGGGCGCAAGCCUGAUCCAGCCAUGCCGCGUGAGUGAUGAAGGCCCUAGGGUUGUAAAGCUCUUUCACCGGUGAAGAUAAUGACGGUAACCGGAGAAGAAGCCCCGGCUAACUUCGUGCCAGCAGCCGCGGUAAUACGAAGGGGGCUAGCGUUGUUCGGAAUUACUGGGCGUAAAGCGCACGUAGGCGGAUUGUUAAGUGAGGGGUGAAAUCCCAGGGCUCAACCCUGGAACUGCCUUUCAUACUGGCAAUCUAGAGUCCAGAAGAGGUGAGUGGAAUUCCGAGUGUAGAGGUGAAAUUCGUAGAUAUUCGGAGGAACACCAGUGGCGAAGGCGGCUCACUGGUCUGGAACUGACGCUG